rnacentral:lncRNA from 1 species
AAAUUCUCUGGGGCACCUCAAUUCUUUCCCAAGUAUCACUAGCUAUAUGGGAUAAUGGCAGAACCUGAGGAUGGGAGGUACAAGGGAUUCCCUCUGUAAACAGAUGGUCAGGAACCUGACUUCUCCCUGACGCUGCUUGAAGCUCUGACACUGGGCCUCAUACUUGGGCUGAGACAGUGGGUGUGUGCUUCAGAAGAAUCCUGGUCUCAUUGUCACAAGGA